rnacentral:rRNA from 1 species
AGCCACAGCCAUAUCAUCCUGCAGCCCAAGACCAGUUACUCACUGAAGCUAAACAGGGAUGAGCCUGGUCAGUACCUGGAUGGGACACCACUUGGGGAAACUAGGUUGCUGUUGGAA